rnacentral:rRNA from 1 species
CCUACGGGUGGCAGCAGUAAGGAAUAUUGCUCAAUGGGGGAAACCCUGAAGCAGCAACGCCGCGUGGAGGAUGAAGGUUCUCUGAUUUUUAACUCCUUUUUUUAGAGGAGAUAAUGACGGUAUCUAACGAAUAAGCACCGGCUAACUCCGUGCCAGCAGCCGCGGUAAUACGGAGGGUGCAAGCGUUACUCGGAAUCACUGGGCGUAAAGGGCGCGUAGGCGGGAUAGCAAAUCAGAUGGUAAAUCAUAUGGGUUAAACAUAGAACUGCAUUUGAAACUGUUAUUCUAGAGUAUGGGAGAGGUAGGUGGAAUUCUUGGUGUAGGGGUAAAAUCCGUAGAGAUCAAGAAGAAUACUCAUUGCGAAGGCGACCUGCUAGAACAUAACUGACGCUGAUGCGCGAAAGCGUGGGGAGCGAACAGGAUUAGAUACCCGGGUAGUC